UUUUGGAUGGAACUUUAUUUUCUAGAUCAGGUAGAGUCUUUACAUUACUCCAGCCUGAGACAUGUAGACAGACCUGGUCCAGUUGGCAGGGGUCGACCCAGGCUUAUCGAAGACCUCACCACAUACUCGGCAGUGACCGGAUGCAAGAACUUCACUGGAUCCCAAAACCAGAUUUAACUUUUUUUUUCUCUCUUAGCUCACCAUUCAGCAAGGAAGACUGUUUUACUGUUGGAUAAAAAUGUUAUUGUUAAUUUUAAGUUACUUUUUUAUUUCUAUUAAAGCUAUUUUUUUACUGUUUUUACUUCUUUAAGUUAGCCAGUAUUGUUUUAAAUGAUGUCACAGCUGUAAAAAUAGUGCUCCACUUCAAUUUUUAAAGAAACAACUAUACUGCUGYUUAACAGAAGAAUGCGAAUGUUAAUAAAUCCAAAGACUUUUUUAAUGUUUAUGAAGGAAUGUGYAGGAUCCAUGUUUUUAAUCUCCAUAUUAUGUCAGAUUUUCACAUUUAUUUCACUCUGUCACUUUUUGAAUAAACUGUAGACUCAAAAAGGUG